UACGUAGGGUGCGAGCGUUGUCCGGAAUUAUUGGGCGUAAAGAGCUUGUAGGCGGUUUGUCGCGUCUGCCGUGAAAAUCCGGGGCUCAACUCCGGACUUGCGGUGGGUACGGGCAGACUAGAGUGUGGUAGGGGAGACUGGAAUUCCUGGUGUAGCGGUGAAUUGCGCAGAUAUCAGGAGGAACACCGAUGGCGAAGGCAGGUCUCUGGGCCACUACUGACGCUGAGAAGCGAAAGCGUGGGGAGCGAACAGG
rnacentral:rRNA from 1 species